GUGAUUUAUGCUAAUUUUUCAAUUUUUUUUCCUCAAAAAUAAUAUUCAUUAAGAGGCCAAUAAUAAGCCUAAAGUUUACAGAAAAGCUUACACACAGGGUCCAAAGAAGAAAAAAUCUAGUCCAAACACCGCAAUCUUAAAGUCCAAAAACUAAAAAUUCGUAUUCUCGAUCUGACUAGCAAAAAUAGGCAUGCAAUGCUCUUCUAUUUCUGGAAGCUUUUAAUCGUCUUCGCUGCCAAGAACACACCAAGGACGUGUUACUCUUCCUAAAAAUAGGCACAGUUGUUUCAAACUCAUAAGAAUCAACAUAGUAAAAUAAAAAAUUAAGCUAAAAAAAAAGGUCUUGAAGCUUUUAGAAUAAAGAAAAACGAAAUAGAAGACUACAAAACACAUGCAAAACUAAAUCAACGAAGCUGAUGAAUAGACGCAUAAGAAAGGGAAGUGACCAAAAUAGCUCUAAAAACCCAUCCUUCUUUUACUAUGGUAUUUAUUUAAGACCACCGACCUGGGACUUCUACCUGCACCAAUAGAUAAAAGAAAUAGAAAAAAUAAGGACAUAAACUACACGAUAAGUGAAAAAACACCUCCCUCCCUCGCAUGAAGUCCCACUUUUCAAAACCAAGAAGACAAUUGAAGGGGAGGGAGACUAUCCACAUACGAGUGAGAGCAAGGAGAAGCCACCCACUCGAGAAGGACAGAAGCAGUCGCAGAAAUCAAUAAAAAGAGAC
rnacentral:lncRNA from 1 species